UCGAGGGGCAGCGGGGAGGUAGCAAUACUUCCGCCGGCGACCGGCGCACGGGUGAGUAACACGUAUGGAACCUGCCCGUAGCAGGGGGAUAAGCGGAAGAAAUUCCGUCUAAUACCGCGUAAUAACUCCGAGAGGCAUCUCUUGGGGUUUAAAGGGUAACACCGGCUACGGAUGGCCAUGCGGCGCAUUAGCUAGUUGGCGGGGUAACGGCCCACCAAGGCGACGAUGCGUAGGGGUUCUGAGAGGAAGGUCCCCCACACUGGUACUGAGACACGGACCAGACUCCUACGGGAGGCAGCAGUGAGGAAUAUUGGUCAAUGGGCGCGAGCCUGAACCAGCCAAGUCGCGUGAGGGAAGACGGUCCUAUGGAUUGUAAACCUCUUUUGUCGGGGAGCAAAAGACGCCACGCGUGGCGUUCCGAGAGUACCCGAAGAAAAAGCAUCGGCUAACUCCGUGCCAGCAGCCGCGGUAAUACGGAGGAUGCGAGCGUUAUCCGGAUUUAUUGGGUUUAAAGGGUGCGCAGGCGGAAGAUCAAGUCAGCGGUAAAAUUGAGAGGCUCAACCUCUUCGAGCCGUUGAAACUGGUUUUCUUGAGUGAGCGAGAAGUAUGCGGAAUGCGUGGUGUAGCGGUGAAAUGCAUAGAUAUCACGCAGAACUCCGAUUGCGAAGGCAGCAUACCGGCGCUCAACUGACGCUCAUGCACGAAAGUGUGGGUAUCGAACAGGAUUAGAUACCCUGGUAGUCCACACAGUAAACGAUGAAUACUAAUUGUUCGGGGAGAAUGAUCCCUGAGUGAUACAGCGAAAGCGUUA
rnacentral:rRNA from 1 species